rnacentral:rRNA from 1 species
GUGCACAGAUCAAGCUUACUUGGUCUGAUCAGUGGCGAACGGGUGAGUAACACGUGAGUAACCUGCCCCAGACUCUGGGAUAACCCCGGGAAACCGGAGCUAAUACCGGAUAUGACACGCCCCUGCAUGGGGAGUGUGUGGAAAGUUUUUCGGUCUGGGAUGGACUCGCGGCCUAUCAGCUUGUUGGUGAGGUAAUGGCUCACCAAGGCGACGACGGGUAGCCGGCCUGAGAGGGCGACCGGCCACACUGGGACUGAGACACGGCCCAGACUCCUACGGGAGGCAGCAGUGGGGAAUAUUGCACAAUGGGCGAAAGCCUGAUGCAGCGACGCCGCGUGAGGGAUGACGGCCUUCGGGUUGUAAACCUCUUUCAGCAGGGAAGAAGCGCAAGUGACGGUACCUGCAGAAGAAGCACCGGCUAACUACGUGCCAGCAGCCGCCGGUAAUACGUUAGGGUGCGGAGCGUUGUCCGGAAUUAUUGGGCGUAAAGAGCUUGUUAGGUGGUUUGUCGCGUUUGCUGUGAAAAUCCGAGGCUYAACCUCGGACUUGCAGUGGGUACGGGCAGACUAGARUGUGGUARGGGAGACUGGAAUUCCUGGUGUAGCGGUGGAAUGCGCAGAUAUCAGGAGGAACACCGAUGGCGAAGGCAGGUCUUUGGGCCAUUACUGACACUGAGAAGCGAAAGCAUGGGGAGCGAACAGGAUUAGAUACCCUGGUAGUCCAUGCCGUAAACGUUGGGAACUAGGUGUGGGUUUCAUUUCACGAGAUCCGUGCCGCAGCUAACGCAUUAAGUUCCCCGCCUGGGGAGUACGGCCGCAAGGCUAAAACUCAAAGGAAUUGACGGGGGCCCGCACAAGCGGCGGAGCCUGCGGAUUAAUUCGAUGCAACGCGAAGAACCUUACCAAGGCUUGACAUACCCCGGAAUCACUUAGAGAUGGGUGCGUUUUCGGACUGGUGUACAGGUGGUGCAUGGUUGUUGUCAGCUCGUGUCGUGAGAUGUUGGGUUAAGUCCCGCAACGAGCGCAACCCUCGUUUUAUGUUGCCAGCACGUCAUGGUGGGGACUCAUAGGAGACUGCCGGGGUCAACUCGGAGGAAGGUGGGGAUGACGUCAAAUCAUCAUGCCCCUUAUGUCUUGGGCUUCACGCAUGCUACAAUGGCCGGUACAAAGGGCUGCGAAACCGCGAGGUGGAGCGAAUCCCAAAAAACCGGUCUCAGUUCGGAUUGGGGUCUGCAACUCGACCCCAUGAAGUCGGAGUCGCUAGUAAUCGCAGAUCAGCAACGCUGCGGUGAAUACGUUCCCGGGCCUUGUACACACCGCCCGUCAAGUCACGAAAGUCGGUAACACCCGAAGCCGGUGGCCCAACCCUUU